GAUGAACGCUGGCGGCGUGCCUAAUACAUGCAAGUCGAGCGAACGGACGAGAAGCUUGCUUCUCUGAUGUUAGCGGCGGACGGGUGAGUAACACGUGGAUAACCUACCUAUAAGACUGGGAUAACUUCGGGAAACCGGAGCUAAUACCGGAUAAUAUUUUGAACCGCAUGGUUCAAAAGUAAAAGACGGUCUUGCUGUCACUUAUAGAUGGAUCCGCGCUGCAUUAGCUAGUUGGUAAGGUAACGGCUUACCAAGGCAACGAUGCAUAGCCGACCUGAGAGGGUGAUCGGCCACACUGGAACUGAGCCACGGUCCAGACUCCUACGGGAGGCAGCAGUAGGGAAUCUUCCGCAAUGGGCGAAAGCCUGACGGAGCAACGCCGCGUGAGUGAUGAAGGUCUUCGGAUCGUAAAACUCUGUUAUUAGGGAAGAACAUAUGUGUAAGUAACUGUGCACAUCUUGACGGUACCUAAUCAGAAAGCCACGGCUAACUACGUG
rnacentral:rRNA from 1 species